AAAUUGAAGAGUUUGAUCAUGGCUCAGAUUGAACGCUGGCGGCAGGCCUAACACAUGCAAGUCGAGCGGUAGCACAGAGAGCUUGCUCUCGGGUGACGAGCGGCGGACGGGUGAGUAAUGUCUGGGAAACUGCCUGAUGGAGGGGAUAACUACUGGAAACGGUAGCUAAUACCGCAUAAUGUCGCAAGACCAAAGUGGGGACCUUCGGGCCUCAUGCCAUCAGAUGUGCCCAGAUGGGAUUAGCUAGUAGGUGGGGUAACGGCUCACCUAGGCGACGAUCCUAGCUGGUCUGAGAGGAUGACCAGCCACACUGGAACUGAGACACGGUCCAGACUCCUACGGGAGGCAGCAGUGGGGAAUAUUGCACAAUGGGCGCAAGCCUGAUGCAGCCAUGCCGCGUGUGUGAAGAAGGCCUUCGGGUUGUAAAGCACUUUCAGCGGGGAGGAAGGCGUUAAGGUUAAUAACCUUGGCGAUUGACGUUACCCGCAGAAGAAGCACCGGCUAACUCCGUGCCAGCAGCCGCGGUAAUACGGAGGGUGCAAGCGUUAAUCGGAAUUACUGGGCGUAAAGCGCACGCAGGCGGUCUGUCAAGUCGGAUGUGAAAUCCCGGGCUCAACCUGGAACUGCAUUCGAAACUGGCAGGCUAGAGUCUUGUAGAGGGGGUAGAAUUCCGGUGUAGCGGUGAAAUGCGUAGAGAUCUGGAGGAAUACCGGUGGCGAAGGCGGCCCCUGGACAAAGACUGACGCUCAGGUGCGAAAGCGUGGGGAGCAAACAGGAUUAGAUACCCUGGUAGUCCACGCCGUAAACGAUGUCGAUUUGGAGGUUGUGCCCUUGAGGCGUGGCUUCCGGAGCUAACGCGUUAAAUCGACCGCCUGGGGAGUACGGCCGCAAGGUUAAAACUCAAAUGAAUUGACGGGGCCCGCACAAGCGGUGGAGCAUGUGGUUUAAUUCGAUGCAACGCGAAGAACCUUACCUGGUCUUGACAUCCACAGAACUUUCCAGAGAUGGAUUGGUGCCUUCGGGAACUGUGAGACAGGUGCUGCAUGGCUGUCGUCAGCUCGUGUUGUGAAAUGUUGGGUUAAGUCCCGCAACGAGCGCAACCCUUAUCCUUUGUUGCCAGCGGUUAGGCCGGGAACUCAAAGGAGACUGCCAGUGAUAAACUGGAGGAAGGUGGGGAUGACGUCAAGUCAUCAUGGCCCUUACGACCAGGGCUACACACGUGCUACAAUGGCAUAUACAAAGAGAAGCGACCUCGCGAGAGCAAGCGGACCUCAUAAAGUAUGUCGUAGUCCGGAUUGGAGUCUGCAACUCGACUCCAUGAAGUCGGAAUCGCUAGUAAUCGUAGAUCAGAAUGCUACGGUGAAUACGUUCCCGGGCCUUGUACACACCGCCCGUCACACCAUGGGAGUGGGUUGCAAAAGAAGUAGGUAGCUUAACCUUCGGGAGGGCGCUUACCACUUUGUGAUUCAUGACUGGGGUGAAGUCGUAACAAGGUAACCGUAGGGGAACCUGCGGUUGGAUCACCUCCUUA
rnacentral:rRNA from 1 species